rnacentral:lncRNA from 1 species
GUAACAAAACAGUCUGGCCGGUGCCAUUCAGAUCCUAACUUCGUAUAAAAGCCGUGCCUCGGAGGAAACGUACACGUCCCUGAGUUUCAUCCCUUCCUGUUGAGAAUUUAGUCAGGAGGUGACAUUCACCAGACUGAACACAGCGACUGUGGCUUUUUGAAAGGGCAGCUCCAAGUCCAGACGGAACCACAGAACAGGACCAAAAAACGUGAUUAAAGAAGCAUCUUUAUCUUCACCGAAAAGAAUCCAUGUGGACAAUGUCUUCCCUUCCACACCGUUCACCGGAGACGUGAAAAUCUGCAGCUGACAUUCCUGGCUGUACUCAAGUUUCUGAGGAAAGGGCUCAACAGAGAAGUAAUUCCUUCCAGGGACUUCGAGCUAUGACCUUGGGAACUGAAAUCUGGACACAAAGGGAACGGGUGUUUGCCUUCACCUCAUGAAAGGUGAAUGAUG